rnacentral:tRNA from 1 species
AGCCUCGAGGUGUAAUGACACGUAAGAUUGCAAAUCUUGAGUCGCGAAUUAGUGUUCGCUGGGGCUU